CCCUCAUCCAGCACUCCAAUACGCACCAGACGCCUGAGCAGAGCAUUACCUUCAAAGAGACGCUUAGGAUCCUUCUCAUCCAGAGUGAGCAGCUCUCUGGCAGCCUUGCGGAUUUUGGCCAGAGUGAACUUCACCCUCCAGACUUCUCUCUUAUUCCUGAGACCAUACUCACCAAUGAGUCUUAACUCCUGGUCAAGACGUGACUUCUCAAAAGGACGUCUUGGGGUGACGUACGUCUUACUGCAAACCCAAGUCUUGGCAACCGGCAUGGCGACUUAUUGACGCCUGUCCG
rnacentral:misc_RNA from 1 species